AAGUCGUAACAAGGUUUCCGUAGGUGAACCUGCGGAAGGAUCAUUAACGUAUCUCUGGCGCGUGCCGGCGAGCCCUGCCGCGGCGUAAUUGCCGCGCGGGUUCACGGUGCCGUCCAACCUUAACAAACCCACUGUGCACAUUUGCGGCCGAGGGCGUCUGGGCGAGAGCUCGGGCGUUCGAUGCCGAUCACAAACUCCAGUUCAAUAGAAUGCCUAGCGGCCUCUGUGCCGUCUAAAACACAUAACAACUUUCAACAACGGAUCUCUUGGCUCUC
rnacentral:misc_RNA from 1 species